ACAGAGGUCUCAACCGUUGUUCGGAUUCAUUGGGCGUAAAGGGUGCGUAGGCGGUCGGGUAAGUCGGAUGUGAAAUCUCAGGGCUCAACCCUGAAACUGCAUUCGAUACUGCCUGGCUAGGGUACUGGAGAGGAGACUGGAAUUUACGGUGUAGCAGUGAAAUGCGUAGAUAUCGUAAGGAAGACCAGUGGCGAAGGCGAGUCUCUGGACAGUUACCGACGCUGAGGCACGAAGGUCAGGGGAGCAAACGGGA
rnacentral:rRNA from 1 species